AUUGAACGCUGGCGGCAGGCCUAACACAUGCAAGUCGCACGAGUGGCGGACGUGUGAGUCAUUUCUGGGAAACUGCCUGAUGGAGGGGGAUAACUACUGGAAACGGUAGCUAAUACCGCCUACCCUCAGUUGUGCCCAGAUGGGAUUUGCUUGUUGGUGGGGUAACGGCUCACCAAGGCGACGAUCCCUAGCUGGGCUGAGAGGAGGAACAGCCACACUGAAGAUGAGAAACGGUCAAGACUCCUACGGGAGGCAGCAGUGGGGAAUAUUGCACAAUGGGCGUAAGCCUGAUGCAGGCAUGCCGCGUGUAUGAAGAGGGCCUUCGGGUUGUAAAGUACUUUAAGCGGGGAGGCGUUACCCGCAGAAGAAGCACCGGCUAACUCAGUGCAAGCAGCCGCGGUAAUUC
rnacentral:rRNA from 1 species